UGAAAGUGGGGGACCGCAAGGCCUCAUGCUAUAGGAGCGGCCGAUGUCUGAUUAGCUAGUUGGUGGGGUAAAGGCCCACCAAGGCGACGAUCAGUAGCUGGUCUGAGAGGACGAUCAGCCACACUGGGACUGAGACACGGCCCAGACUCCUACGGGAGGCAGCAGUGGGGAAUUUUGGACAAUGGGGGCAACCCUGAUCCAGCAAUGCCGCGUGUGUGAAGAAGGCCUUCGGGUUGUAAAGCACUUUUGUCCGGAAAGAAAUCGCACUUACUAAUAUUAGGUGUGGAUGACGGUACCGGAAGAAUAAGGACCGGCUAACUACGUGCCAGCAGCCGCGGUAAUACGUAGGGUCCAAGCGUUAAUCGGAAUUACUGGGCGUAAAGCGUGCGCAGGCGGUUGUGCAAGACCGAUGUGAAAUCCCCGGGCUUAACCUGGGAAUUGCAUUGGUGACUGCACGGCUAGAGUGUGUCAGAGGGGGGUAGAAUUCCACGUGUAGCAGUGAAAUGCGUAGAGAUGUGGAGGAAUACCGAUGGCGAAGGCAGCCCCCUGGGAUAACACUGACGCUCAUGCACGAAAGCGUGGGGGAGCAAACAGGAUUAGAUACCCUGGUAGUCCACGCCCUAAACGAUGUCAACUAGUUGUUGGGGGAUUCAUUUCCUUAGUAACGUAGCUAACGCGUGAAGUUGACCGCCUGGGGGAGUACGGGUCGCAAGAUUAAAAACUCAAAGGGAAUUGGACGGGGGGACCCCGGCACAAGCGGUGGGAUGGAUGGUGGGAUUAAAUUCGGAUGGCAACGGCGGAAAAAACCUUACCUACCCUUGGACAUGGCCA
rnacentral:rRNA from 1 species